UACGUAGGUGGCAAGCGUUUGUCCGGAAUUACUGGGUGUAAAGCGCGUGUAGGCGGGAGGCCAAGUCUGCUGUGAAAUCGCUCGGCUCAACUGGGCGGGGUCGGUGGAAACUGGUCACCUGGAGGACGGUAGAGGCGAGUGGAAUUCCCGGUGUAGUGGUGAAAUGCGUAGAGAUCGGGAGGAACACCAGUGGCGAAGGCGGCUCGCUGGGCCGGACCUGACGCUGAGACGCGAAGGCGUGGGGAGCGAACGGGG
rnacentral:rRNA from 1 species